ensembl:lncRNA
CACAUUUGUGAUAUUAUAUAUUAUUUGCAAAAGUAGGAAGUCAAGAAAUACCUGGAGUGACAGACAAAUCUGGCCUUAGAGUACAGAAUGAAGCAGGGCAAAGGCUAAUAGAGUUUUGCCAAGAGAGCGCACUGGUCAUAGCAAACACCCUCUUUCAACAACACAAGAGAAGAUUCUACAUAUGGGCAUCACCAGAUGGUCAACACUGAAAUCAGAUUGAUUAUAUUCUUUGCAGCCAAAGAUGGAGAAGCUCUAUAUAGUCAGCAAAAACAAGACUGGGAGCUGACUGUGGCUCAGAUCAUGAACUCCUUAUUGCCAAGUUCAGACUUAAAUUGAACAAAGUACGAAAACCACAAGACCAUUCAGGUUUUUAAGGAACCUCCAUACUGGCUAUAUGCAGGAGCCAGGUGGAAAGGACUUUUGCCACCUCCUGGGCUGCCUUACACAUUCCACCCUCCUGCUCUCUCCUUGAGAAGCCUGGGCCCCACAGUGGUAAAGUGUCAUUUAAAAAGUAAUUAAUUUAUGAAUUUGGCUGCACUGGGUGUUCUGUACUUGGGAUCUCUGAGCCAUCAUUGUGGUAUUCGGAUUCUUUUUUCAGUUGCAGCAUGUGAGAUCUUUAGUUGCGGCAUGCAAACUCUUAGUUUUGGUGUGUGGGGUCGAACUUGGACCCUCUGCUUUGUCAGCUCAGAGGCAGGGAAGUCCUGAGUGUCAUUCUGAAGUCACAUAGUUUACAGGUAAAAAUGGAAAUCAUAGAAUAAUGCCUAUAACAUGGUCCCAUUUAUGGAAAAGCUAUAUAUUUUGUUUUAAAAAAAUAUAUGGAAGUCUACAAAAGCACCCAAAAAAGAUACAGAUGGACACAAUGACAGUGGCACCCAGAGGCGAGGAGUGGGAACGGAAUGGGCCUGAGUGAGGCUUUGAUUGAUCUGCAAACUUCUGUGUUAUUGGAAAACUGUGUUGUGAGGAAAAUGUGUUCAGGUUUUUUUUCCCCUGCACCUUAAAGAGAAUAUUUAAAAUGGAGCUAUGACACAGGCGCAGGCCUCAGGUUUCUAUUUUUUUUUUCCACCAGAACAAGCUUGUUCUGGCCCAUUCCAGAUCUGGAACGCUGCUCUCUCUAAGCUGCCACACCUCAGCAGGUGCUUUGGGGACACUGGGCUCGCUCCCCGGCUCAGCCCAGACCGGGCCUCGGGAUCCUACUCACUGAGGCUUUGAAGG